GAUGAAGAACGUAGCGAAAUGCGAUAAGUAGUGUGAAUUGCAGAAUUCAGUGAAUCAUCGAAUCUUUGAACGCACAUUGCGCCCCUUGGUAUUCCAUGGGGCAUGCCUGUUCGAGCGUCAUUUGUACCUUCAAGCUCUGCUUGGUGUUGGGUGUUUGUCUCGCCUCUGCGUGUAGACUCGCCUCAAAACAAUUGGCAGCCGGCGUAUUGAUUUCGGAGCGCAGUACAUCUCGCGCUUUGCACUCAUAACGACGACGUCCAAAAGUACAUUUUUACACUCUUGACCUCGGAUCAGGUAGGGAUACCCGCUGAACUUAAGCAUACAAUAGCGGAGGA
rnacentral:misc_RNA from 1 species